UGGGGAAUAUUGGACAAUGGGCGCAAGCCUGAUCCAGCCAUGCCGCGUGUGUGAAGAAGGCCUUCGGGUUGUAAAGCACUUUUGUCCGGAAAGAAAAGCACUGGGUUAAUACCCUGGUGUCAUGACGGUACCGGAAGAAUAAGCACCGGCUAACUUCGUGCCAGCAGCCGCGGUAAUACGAAGGGUGCAAGCGUUACUCGGAAUUACUGGGCGUAAAGCGUGCGUAGGCGGUUUGUUAAGUCUGAUGUGAAAGCCCUGGGCUCAACCUGGGAAUGGCAUUGGAUACUGGCAACCUAGAAUGUGGUAGAGGGUGGCGGAAUUCCCGGUGUAGCAGUGAAAUGCGUAGAUAUCGGGAGGAACAUCCGUGGCGAAGGCGGCCACCUGGACCAACAUUGACGCUGAGGCACGAAAGCGUGGGGAGCAAACAGG
rnacentral:rRNA from 1 species